rnacentral:rRNA from 1 species
AUACGGAGGAUGCGAGCGUUAUCCGGAUUUAUUGGGUUUAAAGGGAGCGUAGGUGGGAUAUUAAGUCAGCUGUGAAAGUUUGGGGCUCAACCUUAAAAUUGCAGUUGAUACUGGUUUCCUUGAGUACGGUAUAGGUGGGCGGAAUUCGUGGUGUAGCGGUGAAAUGCUUAGAUAUCACGAAGAACUCCGAUCGCGAAGGCAGCUCACCGGGCCGGAACUGACACUGAUGCUCGAAAGUGCGGGUAUCAAACAGGAUUAGAUACCCUGGUAGUCCGCACAGUAAACGAUGAAUACUCGCUGUUUGCGAUACACUGUUAGCGGCCAAGCGAAAGCGUUAAGUAUUCCACCUGGGGGGUACGCCGGCAACGGUGAAACUCAAAUGAAUUGGCGGGG